rfam:Ictidomys tridecemlineatus contig099140, whole genome shotgun sequence.
UGGGUUAUGGCUCAGUGGUAGAGCACUUGCCUAGCACAUGUGAGGCACUGGGUUUGAUUCUCAGUACCACAU